rnacentral:rRNA from 1 species
UGGGGAAUAUUGCACAAUGGGGGAAACCCUGAUGCAGCGACGCCGCGUGGAGGAUGACGGCCUUCGGGUUGUAAACUCCUUUUGUCAGGGACAAUGGUGAUGGUACCUGACGAAUAAGCCACGGCUAACUCUGUGCCAGCAGCCGCGGUAAGACAGAGGUGGCGAGCGUUGUUCGGAAUUACUGGGCUUAAAGGGCGCGUAGGCGGUGGUGUAAGUCUGGGGUGGAAUGCUACAGCUCAACUGUAGAGCUGCCUUGGAAACUGCAUUACUUGAGUCGGUGAGGGGAAGGCGGAAUUCCUGGUGUAGCGGUGAAAUGCGUAGAUAUCAGGAGGAAGGUCUGUGGCGAAGGCGGCCUUCUGGCACUUGACUGACGCUGAGGCGCGAAAGCGUGGGGAGCA